rnacentral:rRNA from 1 species
UACGUAGGGGGCAAGCGUUGUCCGGAUUUAUUGGGCGUAAAGAGCGUGUAGGCGGCCAUACAGGUCAGCUGUGAAAACUCGAGGCUCAACCUCGAGACGCCGAUGGAAACCCUCAGACUAGAGUCCGGAAGAGGAGAGUGGAAUUCCUGGUGUAGCGGUGAAAUGCGCAGAUAUCAGGAGGAACACCAAUGGCGAAGGCAGCUCGCUGGGACGUGACUGACGCUGAGACGCGAAAGCGUGGGGAGCAAACAGG